rnacentral:tmRNA from 1 species
GGGGCUAUCUGGUUUUGACAGCAGGUAGAGUAGUUGUGUAAGCACGCCGAGCAUUGAGGAUACGCUCGUAAAUAUCAUCUUCGAACUAUAACUGGCAACACUUCUUAUGCUCUCGCUGCCUAAUCGAAGUAUAGUAGAUUAGCAUCAUUCGGGCGCAAGGCGCCUGAACGGGACGUCGCUCCAAGCCGAGUCUGUGGGCUGAAGGAUCAAGCGGCGCAGGAAUACACAGAAUAGUUUUUGCAGGCUGCGAUGCAAAAGCGAAAACAAAGCAGAUAAGCCGGUAGUUGGUGGCUUGGGUCUUGCUGCCGGACGAAAACCAAGGCCAAGAUAAGCGUGUAGAAAGCACAAAUAUUCCUUGUUUGGACGCGGGUUCGACUCCCGCUAGCUCCAC